rnacentral:rRNA from 1 species
GACGAACGCUGGCGGCGUGCCUAAUACAUGCAAGUAGAACGCUGAAGGAGGAGCUUGCUUCUCUGGAUGAGUUGCGAACGGGUGAGUAACGCGUAGGUAACCUGCCUGGUAGCGGGGGAUAACUAUUGGAAACGAUAGCUAAUACCGCAUAAUAGUAGAUGUUGCAUGACAUUUGCUUAAAAGGUGCAAUUGCAUCACUACCAGAUGGACCUGCGUUGUAUUAGCUAGUUGGUGGGGUAACGGCUCACCAAGGCGACGAUACAUAGCCGACCUGAGAGGGUGAACGGCCACACUGGGACUGAGACACGGCCCAGACUCCUACGGGAGGCAGCAGUAGGGAAUCUUCGGCAAUGGACGGAAGUCUGACCGAGCAACGCCGCGUGAGUGAAGAAGGUUUUCGGAUCGUAAAGCUCUGUUGUAAGAGAAGAACGAGUGUGAGAGUGGAAAGUUCACACUGUGACGGUAUCUUACCAGAAAGGGACGGCUAACUACGUG